rnacentral:rRNA from 1 species
CCUGCACAUUUGACGUUACCUACAGAAGAAGCACCGGCUAACUCCGUGCCAGCAGCCGCGGUAAUACGGAGGGUGCGAGCGUUAAUCGGAAUUACUGGGCGUAAAGACGCAUGCAGGCGGCCUGUUAAGUCAGAUGUGAAAGACCCGGGGCGUUAACCUCGGAAUUGCAUUUGAAACUAGGCAGGCUAGAGUCUUGUAGAGGGGGGUAGGAAUUUCAGGUGUAGCGGUGAAAUAGCGUAGAGAUCUGAAGGAAUACCAGUGGCGAAGGCGGCCCCCUCGGACAAAGACUGACGCUCAGAUGCGAAAGCGUGGGGAGCAAACAGGAUUAGAUACCCUGGUAG